CACGUAGGGUGCGAGCGUUGUCCGGAAUCAUUGGGCGUAAAGAGCGCGUAGGCGGCCAGAUAAGUCCGGUGUGAAAGUCAAAGGCUCAACCUUUGAAUGCCGCUGGAAACUGUCUGGCUAGAGUCCGGGAGGGGCGAGUGGAAUUCCUGGUGUAGCGGUGAAAUGCGCAGAUAUCAGGAAGAACACCCGUGGCUAAGGCGGCUCUCUAGUACGGUACUGACGCUGAGACGCGAAAGCGUGGGGAGCGAACAGG
rnacentral:rRNA from 1 species